rnacentral:lncRNA from 1 species
CUUGAAAGUGUUGGGAACACUGAUGGGCUUCAGUGGGCUGGAACCUGUUGGGAGCAACGUCCUCCAGGUAAGGAGGACACCCACCCGCAGAAAACCACAGGCGCCAGGGACGGGGGGUAUAUUCUAGAAGGUGUGGCUGGUCCUGCAGGCCAGGUCAGCCUGCAUCCCGAGAGGCCCGCACACAGCCCGCUUCCAUUCCAGCUGAGAACAUGGGCCUUUCGUGUUUAAAAUUAUCACCUGCUUCAGAGUCCAACCAGGUGCGGCUCAUCCUCAAGAAACAUCGCAACACACGCCAAGGACUUGAGAAAUGUUUGCUGAUGCUGACCCACCCAGAAACUCCCACCUUCGGAGUUCUAUUCCAAAGAAAUAAUAAGAGGAACAGGGGCGUCGUGUUUGCUGAGACCCCGGCUUCCCACCAGAGAAGACACCGCUCUGCUCACCUCCACCCCGUCACCAUCCCUCCCUGCCGGGACUCAGAGCCUGGAUAGACCCCGUCACCCCGUGUGCUGACUGCCGUGGGGGAGAAGACGCCUCAGGACCACAAGCCCGGGCAGGCUUUCGGGGGCCCUGCUGCCCUCCUGGGUGGGGCCAGCCUGAGACGCCGGGCCUCUCGGAAAAACCUGACAGCCUGGGCUUACAUUCCUCCCUGGCACCAGGCUGGGGUGAGUCAGGCUGCAUCCUGACUCACUCUGCCCCAGUCCCCAGCACCCCCCGUGCACACCGAAGCUCGCUCCCCUCGUUUACAAGGCCCCAGGAUUCACCUGCACUUGUGGGCCCAAGUGAGACUUGACACUCAUACGUUAGGACGCUUAUUUAUCCUGCUUUAUGAAGGAAGACAGUCCAACAGGGAAGAAUGAGGUUUAGCAGAAACACGCAACGGUGAGAAGGGCGGCUCUAGGCAUCGGUUUUGGGUGUCGUGGGGCCCAGCUGCAGCAAUGGCAACACCCGCCCCACAGGCCAGUUGCGACCAAAUCCUGGAUCUCACGAGCUUACAGGCGGCUUUGUCUCUUGUACCGGCCCUAAAUUCAUGGGGUCGCAAAGAGUCGGACACGACUGAGCGACUGAACUGGCCCUGAAUUUGCCACUUAACCUGCUACCCUCAAACCCUCCCAAUGAUACUGUUAACUGCCGUCUUAUUCGACGUUCGUUGAUUGUUGUUGUUCAUGCCGAAGGAGGAGACAGAACAGGCUCUAUUUUGAAAGCAAGACUCCAUCUUGGGUCGGACUGUGGACUCUG